rnacentral:rRNA from 1 species
UACGUAGGGUGCGAGCGUUAAUCGGAAUUACUGGGCGUAAAGCGUGCGCAGGCGGCGCGUUAAGACAGGUGUGAAAGCCCCGAGCUUAACUUGGGAAUUGCGCUUGUGACUGGCGUGCUGGAGUGUGGCAGAGGGAGGUGGAAUUCCACGUGUAGCAGUGAAAUGCGUAGAUAUCUGGAGGAACACCGGUGGCGAAGGCGGCAUCCUGGACCAACACUGACACUGAGGAGCGAAAGCCAGGGGAGCAAACGGG